rnacentral:rRNA from 1 species
GAUGAACGCUAGCGGGAGGCCUAACACAUGCAAGCCGAGCGGUAGAGUUUCUUCGGAAACUUGAGAGCGGCGCACGGGUGCGUAACACGUGUGCAACCUACCUUUAUCUGGGGGAUAGCCUUUCGAAAGGAAGAUUAAUACCCCAUAAUAUAAUGAUUGGCAUCAAUUAUUAUUGAAAACUCCGGUGGAUAGAGAUGGGCACGCGCAAGAUUAGAUAGUUGGUGAGGUAACGGCUCACCAAGUCAAUGAUCUUUAGGGGUCCUGAGAGGGAGAUCCCCCACACUGGUACUGAGACACGGACCAGACUCCUACGGGAGGCAGCAGUGAGGAAUAUUAGACAAUGGGUGAGAGCCUGAUCCAGCCAUCCCGCGUGAAGGAUGACGGUCCUAUGGAUUGUAAACUUCUUUUGUACAGGGAUAAACCUACCCUCGUGAGGGUAGCUGAAGGUACUGUACGAAUAAGCACCGGCUAACUCCGUG